rnacentral:lncRNA from 1 species
UUUUCUAAUUUUUCCUAUUUUUCUUUUUUUUCAUUUUUUUUAUAUUUUUUCUCUCUUCUAUCUCUCUUUCUUUUUUUCUUUUUUUUAUUUUCUUUUUUGUACUUAUUUUCUUUAUCAUUUUUUGUUCUAUUUUAUAUUUUUUGUAUUUUUAAAAAGUAUAACUACUCGAGCACAAGUCAUUGAUGAUAACGUAAAUACCAUAAUUAUUUAUCUAUUUGUAGUCACACCGUCAUUUAU